UAGGGAAUCUUCCGCAAUGGACGAAAGUCUGACGGAGCAACGCCGCGUGAGUGAUGAAGGAUUUCGGUUCGUAAAACUCUGUUGUUAGGGAAGAAAAAAUGUAUAGUAACUAUAUACAAAAGAGACGGUACCUAACCAGAAAGCCACGGCUAACUACGUGCCAGCAGCCGCGGUAAUACGUAUGGGGCGAGCGUUGUCCGGAAUUAUUGGGCGUAAAGGGUACGUAGGCGGUCUAUUAAGUCAGGUGUGAAAGCGUGAGGCUUAACCUCAUUAAGCACUUGAAACUGAUAGACUUGAGUGAAGGAGAGGAAAGUGGAAUUCCUAGUGUAGCGGUGAAAUGCGUAGAUAUUAGGAGGAAUACCGGUGGCGAAGGCGACUUUCUGGACUUUUACUGACGCUCAGGUACGAAAGCGUGGGGAGCAAACAGG
rnacentral:rRNA from 1 species